ACUACUGAUUGGUUGAAAU
rnacentral:snRNA from 1 species